ACUCAACGAUCUUAAAUCCAGCCUAACUUAUACAAGAUGGCCACAGGGCUUGAGUUUCCCACUCACAGGAUUCGACUUCUCUCCCAGGCUUACUUGCUGUUGAUUAUCCCAUUGCAUUCAGUUCCGGCAUCAGAAGAUGCUCCCCUUUUCAGCAGGCUAAGGGUCUACAUCACACCCUUUGUGAUCUUAAGAUAAUCAAGAAGUGCACUGUAACUGUGUUGUAACUUGGGCUGCAGUCGGUAAUCCACCUCUUCAGCUAUGAGUAGGGGACAUGUGAAAAAAAAAAGACUCUGGUGGAGAAGAUCAUGGCCAAAAUCUGAGCUUUCUCAAACUGCUUCAGGUUCAACUGCAGGAAUUGAACAGAAUUGAACUCAACUAACUGAACAGAACUCAGAGAUCUGCAUGCCUGUCUCCUGUGUGCUGGAAUUAAAGUAUUCUACUGCUAUGCCUGGACCCAAGUUUUCCUUUACCUGAAAUUUGGUCAAUACCAUGCUGCUAUGAACUCAAAGAUAUACUGAGCCAAGAGAAAUUUACAGAUGAGGGGUUAAAAGGAAAUGAUGCUUAAAUGGGUACCUUUUUAUACCAAGGAGACUAGAAUGUAGGAGUGAAGGCUCCAAGUGUACAUCACCUCAACCUAUGUUCAAUGAACUGCGUGGAUGUUGUCCUUAGCAAUGAUGUUCUCCUGUAAGUUUUACAAGUCCUACAGAGGAUCCGAAAUGGAAAACUUCAAUACAAGGAAGAUACCUAUAUGAAAGAAAAUACAAGGAGAGCUCAAAAGCAACCCACCACGAGCAAACUUGAGCUGCGGGAACACAGAAUUAUAUAGCUACCACCUCCCAUCAAAGAAGCCUCUUGUGGAAACUAUCAAGAAAACUACAACUGGAUACAGUUCAGAGACCAAUGGAUACUGAGGGAGUACCCCACUGGAUACAUUUAAAUGACAGUUCAAGCAUCUAUUGUUCAAGGAACAUCUUGAAAGAGGAGGUGAAAAGUUAUGAUCCAGUAUACCAAAUCUGAGAGCAUGACAACUAUGAGGUGAAUUAUAAACAAUAAAAAAAUCCCCCAAA